CAAAGUGAAAACAUAACGUGUACAAUUCAUUGGUUAGAGAGGUAUCAUAUAUUACUUGUAUUUGUAUCCCCUGUAACUGGUUCUGUGCUAUGUACCAGAUUGUAACCAUUUAUACGAUCAGCACACAUGCAUUUGAUCGUUUUCUGACCUCUGUAAUCGAGAGGCAGUGCUGGAGCCGUGUGAUAAGUCCAACAGGAGUGCAUCCUUCAGACCAUCCGGUGCACAGACAUCCUGUGCCAGUGUGAUCCGAGCGUCCAGUUUUGGAGAGACUACAGCACAUGGAGCCUGUGGGCUGAAAGGUUCAGACAAACGUGGCGUGAAGGAAAGAUGCCAAAAGAAAGAUGCCCAGGGUCCCUGCUCAUCUGAGUGAAUGUGCCUUAGGCAUGCUGCAAGGAGGCAUGAGGACUGCAGAUGUGGC